rnacentral:rRNA from 1 species
UACGUAGGGAGCAAGCGUUGUCCGGAAUCAUUGGGCGUAAAGCGCGCGUAGGCGGCCCUGUAAGUCCGUUGUGAAAGUCAAAGGCUCAACCUUUGAAGGCCGAUGGAUACUGCAGGGCUAGAGUCCGGAAGAGGCGAGUGGAAUUCCUGGUGUAGCGGUGGAAUGCGUAGAUAUCAGGAGGAACACCCGUGGCGAAGGCGGCUCUCUGGGACGGUACUGACGCUGAGGUGCGAAAGCGUGGGGAGCAAACAGG